CUAUAAGACUGGGAUAACUUCGGGAAACCGGAGCUAAUACCGGAUACGUUCUUUUCUCGCAUGAGAGAAGAUGGAAAGACGGUUUACGCUGUCACUUAUAGAUGGGCCCGCGGCGCAUUAGCUAGUUGGUGAGGUAAUGGCUCACCAAGGCGACGAUGCGUAGCCGACCUGAGAGGGUGAUCGGCCACACUGGGACUGAGACACGGCCCAGACUCCUACGGGAGGCAGCAGUAGGGAAUCUUCCGCAAUGGACGAAAGUCUGACGGAGCAACGCCGCGUGAACGAAGAAGGCCUUCGGGUCGUAAAGUUCUGUUGUUAGGGAAGAACAAGUACCAGAGUAACUGCUGGUACCUUGACGGUACCUAACCAGAAAGCCACGGCUAACUACGUGCCAGCAGCCGCGGUAAUACGUAGGUGGCAAGCGUUGUCCGGAAUUAUUGGGCGUAAAGCGCGCGCAGGUGGUUCCUUAAGUCUGAUGUGAAAGCCCACGGCUCAACCGU
rnacentral:rRNA from 1 species